ACCAAAGACACAGACACUCGAAUUGAAGCCCGACUGAGGAAGAAGGCUGCACGGGCAAGGCUUCAUCAAACAAACAAAGUGUGCAUACUUCCACAGCAGGGCAGCACAGUGGCUAUGACCCUGACCGAAGGUGAAGCGACGCCCUGUAAGAACAUUUUGCUCUCCAUACUUCUGUGUUGUUUGCUUGGUAAGUCUUUUUUAUCUGAGAAUGUUUUAAUUGUUAUUAUUAGCUUUUCCUUCUUUUUGAGUUGAGACAAAGCUGUGUGAAAUGCAUUAGCCACGUUACACGCUGAUAGCACAAUAACCUGAUCUGCUGUAUAAACUGUAUUUGAAAGCUACUUGUGGCAGAUUGAACUGCAUGCUGACAAGCCCUGACCUAACACAGUAUCCCAGUUUAACUGUUCUCCUGUAAACUGGUGAGACAUCGUCCUCUGUCCGGGCUCCAGAUGUGAGCGGUCUCUGCCAGCAUGUCUUUAGGUUUGGUAAAAAACAAGAGUUCAAGCAAAUGCACAUACAUGUUAAUAUUAUCAUUGGAUCACGAUACAAACAACAUGCUGAUUAAAAUGCGGUUCAUGUGUUUCUGCUCCAUGGAAACUAGUUUUAGCAGCGUGCUCUUCUUCACUCUGUCAGUCACAGUUCUGUUACAAAGAGCAGACAAUAACACUGACAGCAGAUCUCCAGAACAUCACCUCGACAUCCAGGUUUGUCUAAAGUCUUUGUGUUUCUCUGA